rnacentral:lncRNA from 1 species
GUCCGAGCCUCGAGAAUCGCUGAGGAGCGCGCCUUCUCCCGCAGCUGCCCGGGGAGGUCUUCCCAGCUCCCGCCCUCCCGUCUGGUCUGCGUCUCCGCGCCCUGCCGGGCCGGGAGCCGGCUCCCAGGCGGACGCGCGGGACAAGCGGGGCGUCAGGGCGGCCCGGCGGUCGGGGUCCGCCCGGGGCCAUGUGCGCCGCCCGUCGGGAGCCACCCAGCGGCCGCCGUGAGCCGGUCCCUUCCUGGGGAACGUUGGCGACUCCCGCGAAGGUUCGGCCGCCGAGCCCGGGGCAGAGCUCCAGAGGCCGGGGGUGACAGCGGCAACGCUCCCGGUGCCGUGAGACCCGGGAAGAGCCUACUGUCUCCGGAGAUUCGCGCUGCAGGUCCGCGGCCUGGGGGCGGCGGCGGUCGGUGUCGGUCGGUGUCGCUGCCCGGCCGGUGGACCAGCGCGCCGCGGGGCCCCUUCUGCCCGCGGGCACCGCCGGGGCAGCUGAGCGCGAGCAGGAAAGGUCACGGCGCCGGCGUCCGCAGGGUUACACCUUCUCCAUGUUUCCCACGCGCCCGGAGGUGCGGACCACACGGACGCACGCAGACAUGUCCAGUCUUCCCAGCCUCCCCCAUGGACCCCGAUAGUCCCGAUUCACAACGUGUGUCCUCUCCCCGGAGACGGCCGGCCCUGGUGUCCAGAACAGGAGGCACCGGCAGGGACCACGGGCCGCCCGUCCUCCUCCCCGAAGUGCGCCGGAAGCGCUUCCUUGCCUCCUUGGGGGAACGGUCGUCCCGCUGCCUUCACGGUCGUCCCCCAGGCGGCCACGGUUCCCGGUCAAGUGCUCAGGACUCCGCAGACGGGUUUCCUGCAGGUCGGGCUGCACCUAUUCCAGGGGCGCCAGGAGUCCCUUCUAUUCUCCUCGGGCUCAGAAGUGGAAAGGAUGGUGUCCGUGUGGAGGCGCUGUGUUUCCCGGUUUAUCCACAGAGUAUCCAAUUGAAGACGACCAGAGAAGGAUGUUGAAAUAAAGAACUUUCUUAACACA